AACGAACGCUGGCGGCAGGCUUAACACAUGCAAGUCGAACGCGAAAUCACCUUCGGGUGGUGGAGAGUGGCAGACGGGUGAGUAACGCGUGGGAACCUACCUAAUGGUACGGAAUAACUCAGGGAAACUUGGGCUAAUACCGUAUGUGCCCGAAAGGGGAAAGAUUUAUCGCCAUUAGAUGGGCCCGCGUCGGAUUAGCUAGUUGGUGAGGUAACGGCUCACCAAGGCGACGAUCCGUAGCUGGUCUGAGAGGAUGAUCAGCCACACUGGGACUGAGACACGGCCCAGACUCCUACGGGAGGCAGCAGUGGGGAAUAUUGGACAAUGGGCGCAAGCCUGAUCCAGCCAUGCCGCGUGAGUGAUGAAGGCCCUAGGGUUGUAAAGCUCUUUCGGCGGGGACGAUAAUGACGGUACCCGCAGAAGAAGCCCCGGCUAACUUCGUGCCAGCCGCCGCCGUAACAC
rnacentral:rRNA from 1 species